GUGUGUGUGUCUGUCUGUCUGUCUGUCUGUCUGUCUGUCUGUCUGAGGACACUUCCAGAAAGACCAAUCUAGAAAUCCCCAAGGAUUGCACAGAGACCAUAUUCCUUCCUUGCCUGUCUUUUGCUAGGAGUCCCCAGCCUUGGGCUUCCAGCAUGCUAGGAAAAGGGAAAUCCUAUUUACACCAGGCCCUCUCACAUCCCCCUCAGUCAACACUCCGUUUUCAGGUGAAAAUCAAUUUAGGUGUGUGUUUAUCACCCCCUCUCUAACACAGGCCCACACCCAGCAAGAUUGGAGAUUUUUUUUUCCAGCAAACCAAAGGGAGGGAACCGCGGCCGGCGCCGCACCGAGCUGUGAGAGAAAGCGGAAGGAGAAACGGAGCAGCUGGUCAGACAGUCAUGGCUCUGAUAAUUAAAGCCUCAAAACGGGAAAUGGACUGACUACCCUGAAGAGAAUCAAGCUUCCAAGUCAGGGAGUGUUCACUCUGGUACAUACAGCACCAGAAGAUGCAUAGUUGAUGGGAAGGACUGUGUCAUCGGCCCCAAGAAGCCGGAAGACCCAGGGUCAAGUGAGAUGGCGAAGCUUCCUUCUUCACACCGCUGCCACCUGAAGCCCACCGGGUCUACAAUGAAAACUUCCAAGUUUCAUUUGGCCCUUUCCUACCUUCUCUGGUCCCUCGGAACAUUCUAGAGCCUCCCUUAAUGGGAAUCUUUUGAAGUUGGAAAAGAACAUCUUCCAGUCAUCUACUCCUAAAAGCCUGUGCUUCGUGGGAUCUGGCUAAGAAUUUCUGAAUGCCUGGCUUUCCUAUAACUCUCCGGAGUACCCCAGGAAGCUAACAAGUCAGGUGCAGAUGCUUCUGGCUCUGGGUGCUCUGGACUAGCCAAGAAGAGACUCUUGGGCCAAGGGCUGUUCAGUUGAUAGAGUGCCAGCCCAGCAUGCACAGACGUUUCAUCCCCAACACCACAUAAACUAAGCAUGGUGGUGCACACCUGUAAUCCUAUGUCUCAGGAGGUCGAUACAAGAGGACCAGACGUUUAUACGCAUCUUCAGCAACAUAGCAAGUUCAGGGUCAGCCAGGACUACAUGUUAAGCACUGUCUCCCGGAUGAAGAGAAGUGUCCUUUCUGUUUCCCAGAUUCAUAGGAUCAGUGACAUAAGGAGAAGCCUCAGAGACCAGAAGAGCCCUGAAAAGACAAUGGCAGGGUGGCCUUUGGGAGGUGUGUUAGCCUCAGUGUCUCAGCCCACCAUGGCCAAGGCCAUCACCAUUUGUUCUCCACAGUCAUGUCAUGUGAAUGGCAGGAUGGAGAGCAGAGGGUUUUGAGACUAGGCGUAAGAAGAUAGGGGCUUUGGAUGCACAGAGGGCUGGAUGGCCAAUGUGUACCUGGUCAGAGAUCACUCUGCACAGCCCUGGCCAGGAGACUCUGGCUUAGGAAGGUCCCUCUGAUUGAUGCAACGAAGCAUAGACAGCAAAGAAACAGCCGCAUCCAGGGCUGUCUUAGAAACAGCUCAGAACUGGGGGCCACAGACACCCCGAUAUCGCAGGAGCUUUAGUAGAUCAUCAGCCAUAAAAGCAACUGCAACCUUGGAGAGGAAGGGCUGAGGGAGGCUCCUCAGAAGGGAGUGCCCCAAGGCCAGCCCUGCCCACAGUCCCCAUUGACUUGAGGGAGCAAUGCCUCUGUUCUGGGGAAAUCUUUGUGCUCCAACCUCGCUCCCCUGUCAGCUUCCUCCUCUGAUACUCAUGGGUGUGCCUAAACUGCCUCUGAUCGUUCCAGCUUCACCAACAUCAACAAAAAUUUUAUGAGUCUAUAUAACAUUCGAUUAUCUAA